rnacentral:rRNA from 1 species
GACGAACGCUGGCGGCGUGCUUAACACAUGCAAGUCGAACGGAAAGGCCCUUCGGGGUACUCGAGUGGCGAACGGGGGAGUAACACGUGGGUGAUCUGCCCUGCACUUUGGGAUAAGCCUGGGAAACUGGGUCUAAUACCGAAUAGGACCGCAUGCUUCAUGGUGUGGGGUGGAAAGCUUUUGCGGUGUGGGAUGGGCCCGCGGCCUAUCGGGUUGUUGGUGGGGUAAUGGCCUACCAAGGCGACGACGGGUAGCCGGCCUGAGAGGGUGACCGGCCACACUGGGACUGAGAUACGGCCCAGACUCCUACGGGAGGCAGCAGUGGGGAAUAUUGCACAAUGGGCGCAAGCCUGAUGCAGCGACGCCGCGUGAGGGAUGACGGCCUUCGGGUUGUAAACCUCUUUCAGCAGGGACGAAGCGCAAGUGACGGUACCUGCAGAAGAAGGACCGGCCAACUACGUGCCAGCCGCCGCAGUAA